GGUGGGAAGGCCUGCCCGCUGGCGCUGCUACUUCUCGCUCUCUCUCGUAAAGGGCCACAGGAACGACUGUAUUGUCCAGGUUGUUUUUGCAGGGCAUGAACAGAAGCCCUUUACCCUCAUGCUUUAAAACCAGGUGGAUUAGUUGCUUAAGUCUGCAGUAAUCAAACACUUGCCGAGCCAGCUUUGACCCAACUUGUCGCUGUCUUUUGGGAAUUGUGGCCACAGUAGCCCAGGUGAAAUAGAAACGGUAACUUGCUUAAGUUUGCAUCCUCACAUGUGGUGAGGACUCCGGGGUCUCUGUGAGCCUGGCAGCAGAGGCAACAUCAGCACCAGUAUGCAUGAUUAAAAGACCCCAGAUCUGGAGGAGGCAGAUGACCCGGAGGUAUGGGGCAGGGGGAGGUUAGGCCUGAGACUGCCAUGUCUUAGCCUGGAUAACUGGACUUCCUUGAACUGUAAGAAAACUUAGGAGGAAGCGAGUAUCAAAAGGAAAACGUGACCAGAUGGAAGUAUAAGCCGAACUACAUGAGUUGACUAGAGAACGAGGUCCUGGCCUUAGCCAAGCAAUGCUAGGACUCAAAAGGAGAGAUGGACCUUUGCUUGUUUCCCUGACAAGAGUCCAACCUCACAAGCCAAACAUCCAGCCUUGGUCUGAUCACGUGAGGCAGCAUUUCUAUUUCAAAGGAGCAUUUGGCUAAAGAAGAAUUUGUGCUGGGUUUGCUGGCAGGAAAUGCUGCCAAACUGGGCUUUCCUGUGUCCUGCUGGGCUGCUCUCUGCAGUUUGCUGCUCCAGACUAUCUCCAACUGUCCUCCCAUGGCCGAGAGGAGGUUUAUUUGCUGGACCCCUGCCUCCCCAGACCAGCUUGGAAAGGAGAACAUGGCCCUAAGGAGAGUAAAGAGACAAAAGGCUUUUAUUCCUCACCGCAGAGCACCCUGGGGCUGGGACAGAAUCCCUAACCUGGAGAACACUUCUAAAUUAUUUCAUAGAAAGCAAGAACUGAGGAAAAGGAGGUAAAAUUUAAAAGCAUCUUUAGAAAUCUCUUGACAAAAUAGUCACAUUUUAAACCUGGCCCUUCUUCCCUAGACAUACCCAGAAAAAAACCUAUCCUUUCGUUCCAAAAAAAGCUAUCCAGCUGGCAGCAGCUUUUUGCAGGAUUUGCCAGAAAGGGAGAGAUACUUGGUUACUGUGUCCAUUCAACCUGCUGCUUUGUAUAAAAACCCCAAACCCUGGGCAUUUGCAAAAACAUGACUACAGAGACUGGUGCAAUGCUGAGUGAGUAGCCAGCCAGCACUAGGCACAGCCCUGCACUGACAUGAAGAGCAUUAGAAAUAAGGCCUAAUUUCUCAGGUGCUCCUAACCAUCUUCAAAGGGAAAUACUUAGCUUCUGCAAUGGAGGGAAUAAGGCCUGUGAAAAAGCACUGGCAAGCAGCACAUCACGGAGAGGAGUCACAACAACACACUCUAAAUACAUAAGCAGGCUGCUCUCUAUGUCCACUGGGAAUGGGAAAAGAUGUUAUCAGCUUAAAGGGGAUCAAAGGAUAUUUAGAUCGGAUGUUAGAAAUACCUUUCAUCCCAGUCCCUCCCUCGCUGUACCUCUACAGAUUGCCUGGAGAUGGUGUGGAGUAUCCCUCACUGGCAGUGCUUAAGAAUAAGAUGAGCAGAUGCUGGCCGUGAAAGGCACACACAUAGAUAGGCCAUCCGGGGGAUGGACUCUGCCUGCCUCAGGUCUCUUCUACAUCUAUUUUCUGUGAGAUUAAGCAGGCAGAAUUUAUAAUAAUGUUUUGACGAAUCUCAAUAGAUAUUGUAAAAACCUCCUCAGCUUUUUUGUUGCACCAGCUGCACAGUUCCUCUGUUCUGUGUAACGCUAGCCCUAAUUUGUAUCCACCAAACCGAAAAUUGCAGCAUGUAGUUGUCAAAACCAGCAUUCAAAUCCACACUCACAAAAGAUGUCUUUCUCAAAAACACACAAAACAUCCUACAGAAAUUCUGCCAGAAAAAGCUAUCAGCUUCACUUUCCAAACUAACAGAGGAAGGACCAGAACAUAGAAUUUAUUUUUGCUAUUUAGCAAGACAUUCUGAUAUUCGAAAAUCCCAUUUAUCCUGAACCUGGAACUGUUGCAAUUCUGAGUACCUACAAGCAGUGAAUGAAAUCAGAGUCUAAAGGAUUCAUUUACACCUCAUCUGGUCAAAAAUUCCACUGAAUGGACACAGCGCAUUUGUUUCAAAAGUGCAGUAAUACUCUUAGCAAUAUGGUAAACCACAAAUUAGAUCAUGAUGCUAAAUGAAUCAUUGAGGAAGAGCUCUUAUCAGUUUCCUGAAUGGAAACUUGACACUCUGCCAUAUCCCAUGCUUUGCUUCUUUUUUUAAAUAAAAUUGAAAAUUAACAUUUAAUGGUGAUGAGCAGUACUUGGGCUGAAAUUUCACUAGCUAAGGUUUUAAUCUUUAUCAGACCCUUAAAUGUUAGUCCAAGAAUUGCCUCUGAGUCUAAUCUAUUACCAAAGCCAGUAAAUGCCCAAAGUGACUGCUUUGCACUAGAAAAUUGUUAUUAAAAAAUCCUAACAGUUACUUAAAAUGGGGUCUCUCUUUCAGGGGGUUGCAAGGGGUUUCCUGUGUAAGAAUAGGAACCAAGCACCCAAAACAAUGUGACCUUCUGCAGAAAUACUAAAAUAAAAUCUAUCUAUCUAUCUAUCUCCUGCGUGAGCUUUUUACAAGCAGAUACGCUCCAACCUCAACUAUCUCAUGCUCCUGAGGUGAAGAACCUCAAGGGGGCAUGAAACAAGCCACUCUGAGUUGUGGCCUUGCAUGCAGUCUGGACAGAGGAAUGCAGUUUAAGCCUAUCACUAAGUAUUCUCAUUAACCUGGAGUUAUCAAAUGCAUCUGGAGUUAACCAAUCUGCAUUUGCCUUUCAUAGCUCUCCAAGACAUCCUUCUGUCUUUUAGAUUGGAAGAGUGAGUAGAAAUGAAGGAGAAGAAGAGAUGUUGUCUUAUGGGGGAAAUCUGCUCCACACCAA